rnacentral:rRNA from 1 species
UACACUCCUGCGGGAGGCAGCAGUGGGGAAUAUUGCACAAUGGGCGCAAGCCUGAUGCAGCCAUGCCGCGUGUAUGAAGAAGGCCUUCGGGUUGUAAAGUACUUUCAGCGGGGAGGAAGGCGAUAAGGUUAAUAACCUUGUCGAUUGACGUUACCCGCAGAAGAAGCACCGGCUAACUCCGUGCCAGCAGCCGCGGUAAUACGGAGGGUGCAAGCGUUAAUCGGAAUUACUGGGCGUAAAGCGCACGCAGGCGGUCUGUCAAGUCGGAUGUGAAAUCCCCGGGCUCAACCUGGGAACUGCAUUCGAAACUGGCAGGCUAGAGUCUUGUAGAGGGGGGUAGAAUUCCAGGUGUAGCGGUGAAAUGCGUAGAGAUCUGGAGGAAUACCGGUGGCGAAGGCGGCCCCCUGGACAAAGACUGACGCUCAGGUGCGAAAGCGUGGGGAGCAAACAGGAUUAGAAACCCUUGUAGUCCCAUGAU